rnacentral:rRNA from 1 species
UGGGGAAUAUUGGACAAUGGGGGAAACCCUGAUCCAGCGACGCCGCGUGUGUGAAGAAGGCCUGCGGGUUGUAAAGCACUUUCGGUGGGAACGAAAUAUGCCGGGUUAAUACCCCGGUAGGCUGACGUUACUCAAUGAAGAAGCACCGGCUAACUCUGUGCCAGCAGCCGCGGUAAUACAGAGGGUGCGAGCGUUAAUCGGAAUUACUGGGCGUAAAGCGCACGUAGGUGGCGACGUAAGUCGGGUGUGAAAGCCCCGGACUCAACCUGGGAACCGCAUUCGAGACUGUGUUGCUGGAGUACGGAAGAGGAGGGCGGAAUUCCCGGUGUAGCGGUGAAAUGCGUAGAUAUCAAGAGGAACACCUGAGGUGAAGACGGGUUGCUGGGCUGACACUGACGCUGAGGCGCGAAAGCCAGGGGAGCAAACGGGAUUAGAUACCCAAGUAGUCCCUGAGCGGGCUGGCAAGGCGCAU